CGAGAUUGUACAUUGCUACGGAAGUGAGACAACUGGAUGAUAAAAUUGCUAGCUAAGACUGUUGUGAUGGAAACUUCUCUAUAAACUUGUUAAGUGCAUGACGUCAAACAGAUGAGUUUGUGUCAUAUGAGCAAAUGAAAUAAUUGUAGGUUAUAUUAUUGUAAACAACACGAAAUUCUGUUGAACACGUUACAGUAAGAAAGCUUAGUGCAGUUAACUUAAUCAUCUUUACAUCAUUACAUGUAAGGAGGGCCUCAUAGAAGAAAUGACAUGAUGGUAGAUCAGUGAACAAGCUGCCCAAGGAACAGAAACUCAUCUUCCAAUCCAUCUUUCAUCUUUCAGGGAGCAUCUGACACAGGAGUUCACAAGCAAGAUGUGCAAAGUGAGUGGUGGCUCCCUCAUAUUGGAACCAUGAAGUUCAAGUUCCACAUCUCACAAUGAUAUGAGGAAAAUAUCUUUCAGGAACCCUGUGCAGUGGUGCAGUGAAGGAGAAGGAAGCAGAUACAGAUCUGUUAAGCAGUCAUCCAAUAUAUUUGCUCACUAGGUCAUUGCAAAUCUGUGUUAAUGACUCGUGUCAACUGUGGCGUGAGGAUUUUCAAUAAUUCAUAGAUGACAGUUCCAACUACCGAGUAUUUUGUUUGGUGCAACGAGGAAAGUGCUACUGCACUCAUCGGCUCAAUACAUGGGUCUAAAGUAAGCAGGAGUUAAAAUUUGCCCUUCCUGUGAAUAGUAGGAGUGCAGUUGCUGUUUCCUUAUUACUUUCCAUGCAGUACUGUACAGCAGCAACCUGAUCUUCAUGCAGAUUCAUGCACAGCAAAGGGGGUAAAAAAUAAAAAAAAAAUCCUGCAUGGCAUAUAUGGUUAGUGGCACAUCUACAACAUUUUUACAACAAUGUCCACAUUCUUUUUUCUCUAAUGGUAAUGCCAAUGCAUGCUUCUACAGAAUACUAAUCAGUCCAUGCCAGGUCUGCUGCAAAGAAACUGUUCCAAAGCUUAUGUGACUCUUACAGCAAAUAUUUCUUAAUACAGUUACUCCUAAAGUUUUAAGGAAGUUAAAAAGAUGUGAUGUUUACAGACAAUUACCUUCAUGUUCUAUCUUCAUUUUGUAUGCACCAAGGCAUGCAAAAACUUGGUGAAGGCUCCAUGAACUGCCUUCUGUGGUAUUUGUUCAAGGAUUGUUUCACAAGUAAACAGUUUUAAAAAAGUCUUUUUUUAUUUUUUUAUAUUACAAAUCAGAUGGUCAUUGUCCGGACCAUAUUUGGGUGCAAUAGUGUCUUGAUUUGAGACACAUAGUAAUGCAUGUGAUCUUCGCAUCCAGUGAGCAUACAAACUGUAUUAUGGGAACAUUUUCCCUCUUUGUGCUUGCUACUCUACCUUAUUCACCUGCAUGUCAGUCUUUAGUCCAUUCUCCUUCCUCUCUCCACAUUAAAAUCAAACAAUGGAAACUCCAGGUAGAAAAAUCAACAAUACAGGAAAAGAUAGAUUACUACUUACCGUAAAGAAGACACAAUUAAGUUGCAGACAAGCAAAAUUAAAAGACACUUAUGCAAAGCAUUCGGCCACAGUUUUCAUCAGCAAAAGAGAAACACACACCGUUCAUACACACAAGCAUGCAUACCACACGCGCACGUGACCAGCAGCUUGGGCCACAGUUGGCGGUCAUGUGUGCUUUCUUCUAUGUAUGAAUGGUGUUUGUUUCUCGUUUGCUGCUGAAGGCUGUGGCCGAAAGUUUCAUGUAUGUGUCUUUCAAUUGUGCCUGUCUGAACAUCUUUCCACUUUAGUUAGAUGAAUGUUUUUGGGAAAGAUGCAGCUGCAUGGUUGAUCAUUUACCUUGUGAGGGUACAGAAUAUUUUAGUAAUUAAGUCUGUAGUGAGAACCAUUUGACAUGGUAAAAGAGGUCUAUGACCAUUUAGAGUCUCAUAAGCCUUGAUAAAUGUAUUAGGAAAUAUAUGCAUUUAAUAUAUUGUUA